CUACGGGUGGCAGCAGUGAGGAAUAUUGCACAAUGGGGGGAACCCUGAUGCAGCAACGCCGCGUGGAAGAUGACGCAUUUCGGUGUGUAAACUCCUUUUAUAUGUCAAGAAAAUGACGGUAGCAUAUGAAUAAGCACCGGCUAACUCCGUGCCAGCAGCCGCGGUAAUACGGAGGGUGCAAGCGUUACUCGGAAUCACUGGGCGUAAAGGACGCGUAGGCGGGUUGGAAAGUCAGGUGUGAAAUCCUACAGCUUAACUGUAGAACUGCACUUGAAACUUCUAAUCUAGAGUAUGGGAGGGGGAGAUGGAAUUAGUGGUGUAGGGGUAAAACCCGUAGAUAUCACUAGGAAUACCUAAAGCGAAGGCGAUCUCCUGGAGCAUUACUGACGCUAAGGCGUGAAAGCGUGGGGAGCAAACAGGAUUAGAUACCCUUGUAGUC
rnacentral:rRNA from 1 species